CAGCGUAGGGCGCAAGCGUUGUCCGGAAUUAUUGGGCGUAAAGAGCUCGUAGGCGGUCUUGUUGCGUCUGCUGUGAAAACCCGGGGCUUAACCCCUGGCUUGCAGUGGAUACGGACAGACUAGAGGUAGGUAGGGGAGAAUGGAAUUCCCGGUGUAGCGGUGAAAUGCGCAGAUAUCGGGAAGGAACACCGGUGGCGAAGGCGGUUCUCUGGGCCUUACCUGACGCUGAGGAGCGAAAGCGUGGGGAGCGAAACAGG
rnacentral:rRNA from 1 species